AUGCUCGUGCCGCGGCUACCCCCGAAGGGUCGGGGUGGGGCGGGGGCGGGCUUCACGAUUGGUAGGGAGCUCAGCGAGCGGCCAAUGGCCGGCGAGGGCGUGCAUAUGGGGGCGGGGCGCCGGCACUAUAGGGCGGCUGUGACGUCGCCUCAGCCGCUCUGUCGUCGCCACCACAGGUGCCGCGUGUCAUUGCCGUCUCCUCGUCAGUGUCCGUAUCCGCCGCUGCCAGGCAGGUACAGAAGCCAUGCCUCAGUUUCCCCUUCUGUCUUGGGCAGCUUGUCCGAGGGGGAGGGGCUCUUGACCCGGAGGCCUCGGGGGUGCGGACGGAGGUGGUGCGGCCUGACCAGGCGGGGAGUUCCCCUCCCCCCAUCCCGAAGGCAAAGUGCGGGCGGGAGUGUGGAGGGAGGAGGCGACGGGGGUGGAGUGGGAGGAAGGACGCGGAGGAGCGCGCUUAGGCUUCGGGGCACCGACUGCUUUGGCUUCUCCAGUCCGAGUCCUCGCCUCUCCGGAGCCCCCGGGGCCCUCACUGUAGUCUUCGCUAGGGCUCCGCCGCGGAGCGGGCCAGGGAGAAGCCCCAAGGCCUUCCCAUCCCCCCCAGCUGCUCGUCUGUCCAGGAUAGCAUGGCCUGAGGCCGCCUCCCCCGCUGCCCCAGCACCCAGGGUUCUUCUGAGCUCUCCGCGGAGUCCUGACGGCUCCAGGGCAUCCCUGGGCUCCGGCGGGCCUCGCUUGUGGGGGGUGGGGCGCGGCCAGGCGCGCACACGAUCGGGCGCGCACACAGUCACUCUUCCUCCCCCUCCCCCCCCCCCCUCCCGCGGCCCAGAAAGGAAGGAGCAUGGAGGCCCCGCGGGCAGAACCAGUCCACCCCGGGCUCCCACGCAGCCACCCCGACCCCCCUUUAGAUUUCAGAAAGAGCGCCAGGCCUGCGGAUGGGGGUCCUGGGUUCCAAGAUGGCCAGACGCUGUCAGCGGGGUGACCCUGGGCAAGUCACUGAGCCUCACUGCCCUAGAGUGA
rnacentral:lncRNA from 1 species